CAAAGAAUGGAAACCAGGCUGCAG
rnacentral:misc_RNA from 1 species